rfam:Schistosoma mattheei strain Denwood, Zambia genome assembly, scaffold: SMTD_scaffold0008253
ACACUGUUGAAGAGUUCUACAAUAGGACGAAACAGUCGUCUAGUAU